AUUAUUGAAUAGGCCAACUCAAAAGUACCUUCGGAAUAUUUUAGACAAUCGCACUAAAAUGAAUAUGUUCUAAUCUGAUCUCAAAUAGCAAAUCACAAAUUUGUAGGAGUCAACAACUUUCACAUUAGCAAUGUGUGUAUACAUUAAUGCUUGUUUAAGCUACAAACGUAAAUAAGACGUCUCAUAAUCCCUAUAAUAUGUUACAUCGUAAAAGAAAGAAUUGUUCAACGGGCUAUAAGUUAUCACAAUUAGAUUUAAUGAAAAGAGACAACAUCUACAAGUGCACUAGAUUCUGUUACUUGGAAUAUAGCAUUUAGGAGAACGUUUUUCGCGUCAAAAAUUGAAACCAGAUGUCUAAUAUACAGCUUUUAAAUAGUGAAACAGCUGAAUUGCACGUUCUGCUAUAUUUAUUCUUCAGGUCAAUUAAGGUUGUUCAGGUCAUUCAGGUUUUUCCAAGAUCAGAUUUUCAGGUUUUCAGGUCAAUCAGGUCAGGUCAAAAUUUAACAAAUCAGGUUUCAGGUCAAAUCAGGUUCAGGUGACCUGACUCAGGUUUCAGGUCGACCUGACCUGAUUCCGAGCCUUAGUCGUAGGAAUUUAAUUUCUUC